rnacentral:misc_RNA from 1 species
GCAAACUUGGUCAUUUAGAGGAAGUAAAAGUCGUAACAAGGUUUCCGUAGGUGAACCUGCGGAAGGAUCAUUACAAAGUACCGGCCAGCAAUGGCCGCACGCUGUAAGCCGCGGCGGUGUCCCCCGUCACGGUUGACAGUUGACCCUCUGUGAAACCCCCUUGUUGCUUCGGCAGCUCCUCCACCCGUCUGCCGGGGGGAGGGUCAGCCUGCCGACGGCCCCUCCAGGAAACUCUUAACCGAAAGGUAGCACUGACGACGUCUGAGAGAGCAGUCAAAUGACACUUAAAACUUUCAGCAACGGAUCUCUUGGUUCCCGCAUCGAUGAAGAACGCAGC